AAUAAACCAAAAAAGAAGAAGAAGUGUUUUGUUCGUUUCAGUCAUCGUAAGUUCAUGAGAAUAGAAACGAGUCCAAGUUUGUUGUUCAUGCAACUUUCUCACGACUCUGUUACACUAAGCUCUUUUCUCCUGAAUCUCUCCUACUUAACCUGAUUCAAUACUCUCUUUGUCUUCCAACUCAAAGUUCACACCUUUUCCAUUUUCUCGACAAACCCUUUUCUCAGUUUUCUCGGAUUCUGUUUUUUUUCUUCAAGCAUAACUCCUCUGUUUUGGUUACUAAAUGGAGAUAGAACCAAGCAGACAACAAACCACCGUACCGGCCUCAGUCGGGGGAGGGAACUUUCCGGUUGGUGGGUUAAGUCCCUUGAGUGAAGCCAUAUGGAGAGAUAAAACACCAACGGAGUUCGUAGGAGAUGUCUCUGCGAGGCUUACGUGGCAAGAUCUGACGGUGAUGGUCACUAUGGGAGAUGGUGAGACUCAGAACGUUCUCGAGGGUCUCACCGGUUACGCCGAACCGGGUACUCUAAUGGCUCUCAUGGGCCCUUCCGGCUCAGGAAAAUCUACUAUGCUCGACGCUCUGGCUAGCCGCCUCGCCGCUAACGCUUUUCUCUCCGGCACCGUUCUUCUCAACGGUCGCAAAACCAAACUCUCCUUUGGAACAGCUGUUAUUACCGACUUAUUACAUAUCUUUUAAUCUUCAAUCAUAGUUUGUUAACUUCUUAAAAAUAAGUCACUUUUUUUUGGUAAAAAAUAACUCCCAACUUUUCAACUUUAUAUAAAAAAAAAAUUUCAGACACAUAUAUAUAUAUAUAUAUAUUUUUUUUGUCAUCUCAUAUAUAUAUAUAUUUUUUGUAAAAAGGCUUACUUAAUAUUAAAAAAAAAAAAAACAAAUUUUCAGACACAUAUAUGCUUCUGCAUAGGUUUUAGCUGUUGCAUGUCUUGAUAUGAAAUAAUAUAAGAAUGUUCUUGGAUUUUGGAUCUUAGCUAUUGUUUUUUGUUUGUUUGCUAUUGACUCAUGUAGUGUGUUUUUGUUUGUUUGUUAUGGUAAUUAUUUACAGGCUUAUGUGACGCAGUGUUGAUGGAGAGCACGCCGAGAGAGAUUGACGCUACGAAGCUGGAGAAGGGUUUGCUGGAGAUGGAAGAAGUGGUGGCUGUUCAUGAGCUUCACAUUUGGGCUAUCACGGUGGGGAAAGUGCUGCUUGCUUGCCAUGUCAAUAUCACACCGGAGGCAGAUGCUGAUAUGGUGCUUAACAAGGUCAUUGAUUACAUCCGCAGGGAGUAUAAUAUCAGUCAUGUCACUAUACAAAUCGAGCGCUGAAAGGCAAAUCAAAUAUCUCAAGAGUAUUUUGUAUAAGCAUUUGCAUUGACAUGAUGAUAAAAUCAAUAAAGUUUUUUAUCUUUUUGUCCACUUUCUCUUGUUCUUCAUGCUUUAGGUAUAUUGGUAUAGUUAUAUGUCAACUUGCUUAGAACAGAGAGUAAAAACGUGCAUAAUGAAAUGACCAAAAGGCCCUUGAGAAAACAUGAAUUCGGCCAAACAAAUAGACGCGGAGCGACCUCGGCACGUCGCUGCGAGAAGUCGCUCCCGGGUCGUUUCUUCGCGAGCGACCUGGCUGUGUCGCUCCGAAGACAUCGCUCCCGGGUCAUCUCCUCACGAACGACCUGGCUGUGUCGCUCCGAAGACGUCGCUCCCGGGUCGUCUCCUCGCGAGCGACCUGGCUGUGUCGCUCUGAAGACGUCUCUCUGAACAUCGGGAGCGACUUCGGUACGUCGCUCUGGGAGGUCGCUCCAGGGUCAAAUCUGUGUGUCUCCGGACGUGAAAACGCGAGUGACUUCGUGCGGUCGCUCUGGGAAAGUCGCUCCGGGAUGUGGUGCACAGCGACUUCAUAUAGUCGCUCCGGGAAGUCGCUCCAGGCAGUGCUCGUCCAAAGAUCACUCUAAUCACCUCCUUUGAGCUCUAAAUGUACCCAAAUGUCUCCAGCAACUCCAUGUGGUAUUUCAAUACCUAAUAGAGACAUAUGUAUGCAAAAAUGCAACUUAGACAUGGCUAAAUCCUAAUUUACAUGAUAAAAAUGUACAUGAAUAAAUGAAUAAAACAAUGUAAAUAUGCAAGAUAUCAGGGAAUUGUGAGUUUACAGUCGUCGUCACUACUGAUUCUUAAAGAAAUGGUGGAUGAGAACAAAACAAGAACAUACAUCUGUAAGUGUAGUCUAAUGUGGUGGAAGUGAAGGCAGUGAUGGGGUCUAUCUGGUUGCCACGUAACGGGAAAGCUGCGUCGAUCUAUCGCGUUUUGCUUCUCUCUUUCUGUUUUGUUUUCUACCUUAUCUUGUCUCUUCUAUUGUUUAGAUACAACUUUUACUCGCCGGUAUUAAUUACCGCGUUUACACAAAUCAGAUUGGUCCAUUAUUAAAAGAUCCAUAGAUUAGUUCCAACUCCGACAUGGGUAUCCAUCCCGAAUGAUAAAGAAAAUAAAAAGAAAUGAAACAAAUAAAGUUUACACGUGGAGAGGUGGCUUUGUUAGAUUGAGUCCAGUGUUCGGUUUCUUCUUGUCGUUUACCUCAUUUGUUGUAUUGUUUUUUGUUCCCCAAGUAUGUUUUGAACCAUACGAUGCGAUGAGUACAUGACCCUAGUGACUUUUGAGAUUUCAUCAUAUUUUGUACAUAUGAUACCUAAUCUCUGAUUUCCAAAUUAGGAUGGGAUAUAUCUCGUUACAUAAUCUAUUUUCUUACUACUAAAAAGGUAACUAACAGCUAUUUUGUCACGGAUCACACAAUGUAGUAUUCUUUCUCCUUUUUCUUCUCAGUGGAAGACACGGUUUCGAUCAGGGGUGGACGUUUGGAUACCCAUUCGGGUUCGGUUCGGUUCGAAUCUAUUCGGGUUUCGGGUUUUCGGGGUCAAAGAUUUUAGUCCCAUUCGGAUAUUUCUAAAUUUCGGUUCGGAUCCGGUUCGGAUCUUUGCGGAUUCGGUUCGGGUUCGGUUCGGGUUCGGAUAACCCAUUUAAAUGAUUUUUAAAUUUCUCAAAAUUCAUCAUAUACUUUAAAUUUCUCAAAAUUUAUUAAUAAAAUAAAAUAUCACAUAUAAAUUUGAAUAACAUAUGUUAAAAUACAUAAACUUAACAUAUAAAUUGGUUUGGUUUCAAUAUUUUGAUAGAGAAUCAAUAGAUAUUUCAAGUAUUUUUGGUGUUUUGAGUAUAUUUUAACUAUUUAGACAUUUACUUUUGACUAUUUGUAUAUAUUUUCAAAUAUCUUAAACAAUUUAAAAGUAUCUUAUAUUUUGUAAUGUUUUUAGUAUACAUUAAAUCUAAAAUAAUUAAUUUUUUUAUGUAUAUAAAUCUAUUUCAGAUAUAUUCGGAUACCCGAAAUACUUCGGUUCGGAACGAGUUCGGAUUCAAUUCUUUACAUACCAAAAUUUUGAACCCGUUUGGAUAUUUAAUCAAUUUCGGUUUGGAUUCGGUAUUACUUUUUUGGAUCGAGUUCGGUUCGGUUCUUCGGAUUCGGUUUUUGUAGAGGACCAUUAGCGCUAUUUCCCACGUUCCGUUUAGUUGGGCUUACACUUGUUGAUCCAGCAAUAUUUUUUUUAUUCGUUACACAAUACUACAACGUUCGUUCAACGUCUCAGCCCAAUAUGGAUGUUUGGAGAAUAGAGGGAAAUAACUUUCCAGUGCUACUAUUUUCUAGCAUUUAUAACUAAGGGCAUCCGCAAUAGGAAUCCUUAAAAAAAAAAUAAUUAAAUAAUCAGUGGAUCCUACCAAAAGUUAAGGAUUCAAUCUUUAAAAUUCCUAAAUAAAGACUCUUUCUUAGUGAAUCUUUGCACUAUUUGCGGGUCCCCACGACUACGUGGCGACCCGUGGUCAUCUUUUUUUUUUUUUUUUAAAAACCCAAAAUAUCCAAGAUUAAUCCGAAAUGUCUUUGUUGCUAAAAACUCCAAUGAGUCUCACAGUUGCGCAUGCUCUAAUGACACUUGGACAAAACAUCGAAUGCCAUCAAGGGUCCUUAUUAACAAAACAAGUACCAACAAAUCAACUAUAGACUCAUACUCUUGUCUAAAAUUUAGGCACUUUUCUGUCAACAUUAUUUAUGCAUUUUAUAUCCAUACAUGUUUAUAACUAGAACACAAUUUCAUUUUCAUCGAUGUCUUUCAUUCCUAUCUAUCUUUCACACCAAAAUUUAGCUGGAAGAUAGCUUCAAUUUCAAAAUAGCCACUGUAGAACAUAUCACUUUAGUAAGGUGUUUUAAGAGCUAAGACUACUAAUCUUUCUAACCCUUUUCAUUACCAUCAAGCAUAAGAUAUAAAAAUCCAUUAGUCAUCUAAACAAACAAAAUAGCAAUCUUUUCAAAGUUCGAUCAAAUAUCUUUCUCUAUGAACAGAAAAAUUUAAAAGCAAAAUAUCAAAAAAAUGGGGCGGUCUAUUGAUACUUAAUGCAACCAUCUAUCGACUACCAGCCUACAUUAAAUGUUGCAGCAAAAGAAAAUUGGAAAAAUCACCACAUCAACAAAAUUGGACCCCACACUUGCAUCUUAAUUUUUCAUUCAAUUCUUCUCCCAACCAUCUCUUUGCUGUCUUCAUAACUAUCUCAUUUCUUGUUUGAACCAAGAAAAAUAUUCAAAGAACCAGUUAUCUUGAAGAUAAGAGGAGAAUAAACCAAAAAAAGAAGAAGAAGUGUUUUGUUCGUUUCAGUCAUCCUAAGUUCAUGAGAAUAGAAACGAGUCCAAGUUUGUUGUUCAUGCAACUUUCUCACGACUCUGUUACACUAAGCUCUUUUCUCCUGAAUCUCUCCUACUUAACCUGAUUCAAUACUCUCUUUGUCUUCCAACUCAAAGUUCACACCUUUUCCAUUUUCUCGACAAACCCUUUUCUCAGUUUUCUCGGAUUCUGUUUUUUUUCUUCAAGCAUAACUCCUCUGUUUUGGUUACUAAAUGGAGAUAGAACCAAGCAGACAACAAACCACCGUACCGGCCUCAGUCGGGGGAGGGAAC
rnacentral:lncRNA from 1 species